AUUCUGUUUGUACCUCUGUCAGCACAUUUUCGGCUCUGCUAUAUUAUGCAUAGGGCUAUGUCUAAACUGCUUGCCGAUGAAAGACCGUGCAUUUAAUAUUCAUAAUAAGAUCACCUUUAUAAUUGCUGUAUAAGUAGUGCCAGUUGAAUUAGCACUGUGUUUGGAGUCUAUACAUUGGCAUUGUCACUAUGACAGGGGUUUCACGUCAAUACACAGUAGCAAUUAGCAGCGAUUGCCACUUGAUGUCACUGUUGUCGUUCAAACCCAUAGCUGAAAAAGGCCUGCUAGCUGCUUUUCAAUACUGGAACAUGAAUGUGACGUUUCAGACCGUGUCCUGUUAGGAGAUGCCAUCUUCAGAAGUUCUCUCACAGUGACAGAAUCUCAAGGUUGAGUGUUUGGUAGACCUGUACCACAGCUGGUUUUCUGGGGCAGAGAAGAACCUGAAAAAACAGAAUCUUAGAGGCAGACUAAAUCAAGUGUCCCCAGGAGGUACUCCAAGUCCUCUGUGGGUGCAGGUAAGAACAUGCACAGGACCGUGGUUUUGAUGCCAACAUGCUUAGGAGGCUGUUACGUCUGACUGUCUGGGGUUAUUGUUUAGAACUGACUAUUACGAACUAUCUAGACAACAUAACUCUUCUAGAUUAGUUUUGUCCAAUUUUUAUUGGAUCUAGGAUAAGAGAAUUGUGCCUACCCGACCGUGAC
rnacentral:lncRNA from 1 species